rnacentral:rRNA from 1 species
CUAACCUGCUCACUGAAAAAGUUUUAAAGAGCCGCGGUAUUUUGACCGUGCAAAGGUAGCAUAAUCAUUAGUCUCUUAAUUAGGGCCUUGAAUGAAUGGUUUGACGAAAAAUCAUCUGUCUCUUAUUAAAUUAUAGAAUUUAACUUUUGAGUCAAAAGGCUUAAAUUAUUCUUAAAGACGAGAAGACCCUAUAGAGCUUAACAUUUUAUUUUUAUAUAAUUUUUAGUUAAUUUUUUUAUAUUUAAAGAUAAUGUUUUGUUGGGGUGAUAUGAAGAAUAGAUAAACUCUUCAUUAUAAAAUCAUUAAUUUAUGUUUAUAAUGAUCCAUAAUUUAUGAUCAUAAGAUUAAGUUACCUUAGGGAUAACAGCGUAAUUGUUUUAGAGAGCUCAUAUUGACAAAACAGAUUGCGACCUCGAUGUUGGAUUAAGAAUAAUUUUGGGUGCAGAAGCCCAGUAAUUAGGUCUGU